rnacentral:rRNA from 1 species
GACGAACGCUGGCGGCGUGCUUAACACAUGCAAGUCGAGCGGUAAGGCCCUUUCGGGGGUACACGAGCGGCGAACGGGUGAGUAACACGUGAGCAACCUGCCCUUCUCUUUGGAAUAAGCGUUGGAAACGACGUCUAAUGCCGAAUAUGACCCCCUGUCGCAUGGUGGGGGGUGGAAAGCUCUGGCGGAGAAGGAUGGGCUCGCGGCCUAUCAGCUUGUUGGUGGGGGUAAUGGCCCACCAAGGCGACGACGGGUAGCCGGCCUGAGAGGGUGACCGGCCAAACUGGGACUGAGACACGGCCCAGACCCCUACGGGAGGCAGCAGUGGGGAAUAUUGGACAAUGGGCGAAAGCCUGAUCCAGCAACGCCGCGUGAGGGAUGACGGCCUUCGGGUUGUAAACCUCUUUCAGCAGGGACGAAGCGAGAGUGACGGUACCUGCAGAAGAAGGACCGGCCAACUACGUGCCAGCCGCCGCCGUAA